rnacentral:rRNA from 1 species
UACAGAGGGUGCGAGCGUUAAUCGGAAUUACUGGGCGUAAAGGGCGCGUAGGCGGAUUUGCAAGUGAGAUGUGAAAUACCUGGGCUUAACCUGGGAAUGGCAUCUUAAACUGCUGAUCUAGAGUACUGUAGAGGAUAGUGGAAUUUCCGGUGUAGCGGUGAAAUGCGUAGAGAUCGGAAGGAACAUCAGUGGCGAAGGCGACUGUCUGGACAGAUACUGACGCUGAGGCGCGAAAGCGUGGGGAGCGAACAGG